rnacentral:rRNA from 1 species
CCUACGGGAGGCAGCAGUAGGGAAUCUUCCACAAUGGGCGAAAGCCUGAUGGAGCAACGCCGCGUGGGUGAAGAAGGUCUUCGGAUCGUAAAACCCUGUUGUUAGAGAAGAAAGUGCGUGAGAGUAACUGUUCACGUUUCGACGGUAUCUAACCAGAAAGCCACGGCUAACUACGUGCCAGCAGCCGCGGUAAUACGUAGGUGGCAAGCGUUAUCCGGAUUUAUUGGGCGUAAAGGGAACGCAGGCGGUCUUUUAAGUCUGAUGUGAAAGCCUUCGGCUUAACCGGAGUAGUGCAUGGGAAACUGGGAGACUUGAGUGCAGAAGAGGAGAGUGGAACUCCAUGUGUAGCGGUGAAAUGCGUAGAUAUAUGGAAGAACACCAGUGGCGAAAGCGGCUCUCUGGGCUGUAACUGACGCUGAGGUUCGAAAGCGUGGGUAGCAAACAGGAUUAGAUACCCCAGUAGUC